rnacentral:lncRNA from 1 species
AUGUAUACAUACAUAAGUAAGUGUGUUCAUGAAUAUCUGUGUGUCAUUUUGGGGAAACAUUUGCGUAUCCCUCUUCUGCUCUGAUUUCACAUUUGUUGCUAUCCACCACACAGCCUGGACAUCUGCAGGCUGGUGGCACCUCUGCAGCAUCACCCCCUCCAGUUUUUAUUCUUCGUUUCAUUUCUCUCCUAAAACCCCACUUUAUAAAGUGCCUCUUUCCGAAACAGCGAUGGAUUCCUUGUACCUAUUUGGAGCAACAGACAUUGCUGAGAAAAGAGAAUUUUUGGGAGGAUUGCUCGUUGUUAAUCACUUCUGCUCCUGUUGGUCAUGAGGAGCUCCUGACGGAGUAUAUGCCUGGCUGCCUCCAGGUCCUUUUAGGCGGUUGUCUCAUGAGCCAAACUGCUCACCGAAUUUCUAGCAGACUUGAUGUAUUAAUGGGAUACACAGUUAUCAAUGAGCAACUCCCCAGAAGAGAGGAGGACUGCAAAAAAAAUUACAGGAACUACCUGGUAGGUAGCAUCAUAGCUGGUUUACAGAAAUGGGAUUUUGAAGAGAGAGAAGUGAGGUGAAGGUGGAAUUUGAAGAAGUUAAGUUCAAUGAGCCCCAUGACUUGUGAAGUUUACCUUGUGGCAACCUUACUGCUCUUGCUUUUAUGGCUUCUUUGGUGUCUGCUCCUGUAGCUGAGCUCCCGGUGCAGCCUCUCCUUCAGCAGUGGCACUGAUUUGGAUGUGUCUUCCUCAGAUCUUCUCUAUAUGCCAGCUCAAUGCAAGGGCUGCAUCAGUCAUCAGUGCUUUAUGCCAAAUAACCAGACCUGGUUUAGAGUCAGCGCUCACGCUCCACAAAACCAGAGCAAAAUCCAUCCUGAAUGCCACGUCUUUCCUGCAGUUUGCCACUUCAAGACAUUCCACUUGGAGACAGGUGAGCAGGUUUAAUGCAAGGGCAUCAUCAUGCCCUCCCUCUGCUCACACAGAGGUUGACCUUUCCCAGGUGCAUGAGGAGAACAGCCAGGUAGAGGGGAGGAGCAGGGGCUUGAAGCAGGGCCUACAGUAAAAGCACCUAAAAGAAGAGCUAAACUGUAGUGAAAGUAGCUUGUAGUGCGUGGGAGUGAUAAUAUGCUGCUCUGCCCAAGUGGACUUGCUGAUGUGUCCAGCCUGGGAGCAGAGCCAGCCUUGCAUUACGUGUCAUGGGGCUCGCAGUGCCUUGAGCAUUGCUCUGAUAUUUGGGCUCCUUUAUACAGCCCAAUGUGUUCAGACAGAUGGAUAUAUGUACAGCACAGGCAGAUGGAUUUAAGUACAUAUAUAUGUGUGUGGGUGUAUAAAUAUGGAUAUGCACAGAUGCAUGCAUUUAUAUAUCUAAAUAUAUAUAUUUAUAGAUGCAUAGCUUAAAUAUUCAUAUACAUAAUACAAGUCUAUGUGAAUAUGCAUUAUAUGUGUGUGUAUAUGCAUAUUACA